UCCUUCUCUGUUUAAAGGACUUCUCUGACGGCAUCAUGAACUGUCUGGGCGUAACGGAGGAUUCCGGGCUCAGUCGCUAGCACAGGCCCACUUCUCCAAGUGAACUCCUCUCCACCACCAAGAGGAUCCUGUCUCCGACUGUCAGCUGACCCCAAAGCAUGUACCCAAAGUUAACACCUCAUUACCCCCGCCCAUUCGUUCACCGUUCGACUGACGUCCCGCACAGCCAAUCAGUAGGACGCAUCACGUCUGAUUGACAGCCCUCAAUCGUAUGAUUGGAUGCCUCUGCCGGGGGUAAUAUUAUACAAGCGGUUCCGCCUGGAGACUCUUCUCGAUUGGUUACCACUACACACGCGCAACCUUCUACGAUUGGCUACAUGGUGUUUCAAUAUUAAGCGAAAUUGAAUAUUUUCUGGGAAUCCAGAAGUAAACAAGGUGGGCGGAGCUUGGGUACGACCCUGGUCACACGCAUGGAACUGGAACAGCGCCGGAACACAUCGCUAUCAUCUGGUUCAGGCUCACAUGAAAUAUACGUUUUUAAUUCAUCUCUUACCAGGCACUUUCGCUCCACCGUCUCUUCCAAGACCUUAAUUCCAUUUUUUAAAAAACAAGUUGCAGAGCCGCUAACCAUUGUUGCCGUGACAAAAUGUGACACGUAUCAUAUACAAGUUCAGAGCAGAAAUGGAAAUUUGGAAAGCAUAAGAGAAGACAAGAAAAUACAUUAACGAGUACGCUGAAGGAAAUUACUGAACACACACCUGAAGAUUAAAAUUUGGCAACAAAGAUCGAAAGAACAGUGAUAAGGUGCUUCCAUCUGCUGCAUGAUUUAUCCUGAAAGAAAAAUACUGAGGCUCAGUAAUCUCAAACUUGUCACAAAUGACCAAGGAGAAGGUAAAGACAAGUCGAAGACAAAGACAAAUUUGACUCAAAACGCAUUGUAAUAAAAUACCUUAAUGUUCAAACUGAAACUGUAACUUUAUAAUCUCAAAAUGAAUAGCAAACGUAAAAAGGCAUUUUUGUUCAAAUACUUUUCCUCACCUGGGAUCUCAGAUUUUUGUAAAACUACAUUGCAACAUGUAAGUGUCUGACUGGCAGGAAUCUGAAAACAAAUUUUACUUAUUACUCCACUGGAAUGUAUUCUCGGUACCAAUCACUUGGUGUAAAGAAGUGUUUUCAGACAGCUGUUCUGGAAAUGGCGUUUACAGAUCUGUGUGGUGUCCCAUGGGCCUGCCCGAAAAUAGUACUUUGCAGCAGUCAUUUUUUUAUUUCUCUUUGGAUUGAGUAAAUUGCAAUAUGUUCUUAAAAUAGACCUUUACAACUAAGCUUUUGAUUAUCCGUGAAACAUAUGGGAACGCUUUACUUUAUGAAAUAUUCAACAUAAAUGCAAUUUGUUUUUGUUCUUGCCUUAAGUUGAAAGAAUCAGGAAUAUCACAAAUAUCUAAAAUCCUCAGAACAUAAUGAACAAGAGUCAUUUUCAGAAUUGGAACUUAAAUGGAAUUUGCAAACCAUCCCUCACAACUCAGUUUCACAUACAAGCAAUGAACACCAUUUUCAGCACACAUUUCUUUUGCGUUUGUUGACCAAAAUUGAAAUGCAUUCUGACUAAAGCUUCAGUAUGAUUCCUGAACCUUUUACUCCACUGCUGUGACUAUACAUAUGUGCAUAUAUGUCUCCCUACACUGUCAUGAAUGAACAUGAUAAGAACUGAAUUUUGAAUCACAGAAUCCAUACAGUGUGGAAACAGGCCAUUUGACCCAACAAGUCCACACUGACUCAACUCUCUACCCUGUAAUCCAACAUUUCUCAAGGCUAAACCACUUAGCCCCCACACCCUGAACACUAUGGGCAAUUUAGCAUGGACAAUCCACCUAAGGUGCACAUUUUUGGACUGUGGGAGGAAACCAGAGCUCCUGACAGAAACCCAUGCAGACACGGGGAGAAUGUGCAAACUCCACACAGACACUUAACUGAGCCUGAAACUGAAUCCACGUCCCUGGCACUGAGGCAGCAGUUCGAAACAUUAAAUCACCUUGCCACCCCAAGAUCUUUCAGGCCAGUAGAUACAACACAGUCGAGUAAACGUGGUAUUUAUUUUCUCCCCCAAUAUCAUGGUCUACGUGUAAUGGCAACUUUGUCAUGUUUUCCCAAAGUUUUCCCUCCCUUCCCUUAACUUAGCUGGGAAUUUAGCAGCAGCUAUAGAAAGAGAGACAGUUAACAUUUCAGGUUGGUGGCCUUUCAGCAGAACCAGAAAUCAGGUCUUUCUCUUAGAGACAUGUCCUAGCACCAAGCCCUGAUUUAAGUCCAAUGAUAUAUUUUCCCUAUGUAAUUUAAUUCACUUCACUAGUACAGUACUCCAUUGUCCUCUUUCAAUUGACUUUCAAUCCGAUUAUCCAUCCCCAAAAUUUAUCCUAGUGACAGCUUUUCAACUAACACUUGAUCGAACGGUUUCUCAAACUUCAGGACACCAGACCAGAAAACUUCCCAGCAUUACCUCAAAGUAACAGUUAGCAAUAUCACUACACCACCAACUCUACUGUCUCUGAGUGCUAAGUGUAUGUUUUAUAUCACAAAAGCCAAACAAGAUGUUCUCUCUGUACAGUCUGAUCCAAGUACUACAUUUUAACCUUACUUCUGUCGACGACUACUCCUGAUUUGCCUACAUUGUUCAACUAUUUAGUUCAUCAUUCUUGAUGUGAGGAACUAUGCUGGGCUUCAAACUGAUGUAGACCCCGUACUUUUCCCCCGCAAUUAUUUCUUUUCUACUUGUAGUUUACACUUGUCUAAAAUUCAGUGCUAGCAAUUCAGCCACUUGCACUUGUUUUAAAAUCAAAUCCAUUGUGUAAUUUUUGUGUAAUUAUGUAGCUCCAUACAAUAUCACCCCUUCCUACUCUUGGUUUGGUAUUCACCAGUUUUAAUUUGAAGUAAACUCCUGAAUGAAAGUGUGACUGUUUAAGUUGGAAAUGCCCCGACUUCUAAGAAGGUUUUCUAGGAUUACAAAGGGAUCUUGAUCAAAUGGGUCAAUGACCUAAAAAAAUGGCAGAUGGAGUUCAAUCCAGAUAAAUGCAAGGUAUUCUGGUAUGAUGAACAAGGGCAGAUGUUAUACAAUUAAUGGUAUGGCCAUGGGUAGUAUUGUAGAGCAGAGGCCCUAGGGGUGCAGGUACGUAACUCUUUGGAGUUUGUGUCACAUAGAUCGGGUAGUAAAAAAGGUGGUUUAGCACGCUUGCAUUCAUCAUUUAGUCCUUUGAGUGUAGGAGAUGGGAAGUCAUGUGGAGGUUGAACAGGACAUUGGUAGGGCCUUGUCUUGAAGACUGUGUCUGGUUCUGGUUGUCCAGUAACAGGAAGGAUAUUCUCAAGCUAGAAAGGGUUGGGAAGAGAUUUACUAGGAUGUUGCUGAAAAUGGAAGGUUUGAGUUACAGAGAAAGGCUGGAUAGGUUGGGACUUCUUUCACUGGAGCAUAGGAGGUUGACAGGUGACCUUAGAGAUGUUUAUAAAAUAAUGAGGAGCAUAGAUAGGUUAAUGGUAAUUGUCUUUCCCCUAGAAUGGGGCAUUUUAAGACUAAGGGCAUAUUUUUAAAUGAGAAGAAAGAGGAUUUAAAAGAAGACAUGAGGGGCACUUUUUUUUGUUUUACAGAGGGUGGUUCAUGUGUGGAAUGAACUUCCUGAGGAAGUGGCAGAUGUGGGUACAAUCACACUUGAAAGACAUUUGGAUAAGUACAUAAAUAGGAAAGAUUUGGACGGAGAUGGUCCAGGAGCAGGCAGGUGGGGUUAGUUUAGUUUCGAAUUCUGUUUGACAUGGACUAGUUGGAUUGAACGGUUUGUUUCCGUGUUGUAUGACUAUCUAUAAGGAAUUCACUCAGUACUUCAAUUUCAAUAAUGAACGAGUGGCCACGACAUAAACCCUAAACAAUUUCUUUAACCUAUGCACAAGUUUCACCUUCCUUUAAGCUUGUGCUUCAAAUGAUUUUUUAAUCAAUGCCUUCUCCACAGACCAUUUAAGAGAUCAUUUUCUCAAAAUAGCAAUGCAAGUUGGUUAGAAGUUUUGGCUUUCAAAUCUAUUUAUUGCUCUUUUUCCUUAUGUUAUCAUAUAAGUAAGGGUUUGCCUAAAUCUUUGUAACUCCUUUUUUAAAAAGUAACAAUAAACUCAGCUAUUUCUAGAACAGCAGGGCAUUCACACAUCUCCACUCCUUCAAUAGUAACCAGCCAGGCUCUAAAAUCUCAUUAAGUGUCUCUAGAGUAAGCUACAGAAUAUCAUCUAUUCAUGAAUCUUAUUGUAGCUUUCACUGAGGGGGCCUACUAAAAUAUCAUGUCUAUGACUUGGCUUCUAUAUUGUGUUAUCCUGCAGAUCAAAUUGAAGAACCAUCUUUCAACAGCUUCUUCCCCAUUACCAGACAUACGAACAGACCUCUCAUAGUAGAACUGAUCGUUUUCUGCACCUUUUCCAUAGCCAUAACACUACAUUCUGUUCUAUUACCCUGAUGGACAUUUGUGAAGUAUGACUGUCUGGACAGCAUGAAAAACAAUACUGUGUCUCAGUCUAUGUGACAAGAACAAAACAAAUAAAAUUUAUUUAAUCAAACUUAUUCUUUUCUUGUAAGUGCUAUGUACAAUACACCCCUAGGACGGUGCACCAACUGCUUGCAUCCCAUAUAUUCUUCCUACAACAUUACUAAUUAUCUUAUGUACUCCUAUGGUCAAAUAAACGGAUGCUGUGAUC